GUAACGUAGGGACCAAGCGUUGUUCGGAUUUACUGGGCGUAAAGGGCGCGUAGGCGGCUUAACAAGUCACUUGAUGAAAUCUCCGGGCUUAACUCGGAACGGCCAAGUGAAACUGUCAAGCUAGAGUGCAGAAGGGGCAAUCGGAAUUCUUGGUGGUAGCGGUGAAAUGACGUAGAUAUCAAGAGGAACACCUGAGGUGAAGACGGGUUGCUGGGCUGACACUGACGCUGAGGCGCGAAAAGCCAGGGGGAGCAAAACGGG
rnacentral:rRNA from 1 species